UCUUGCCCUUCCACCUAGUUUCCAUGUUAUGAUGCAGCAAGAAGGCCCUUGCCAGAUGUGGCUCCUGGAUUGUGGACUUUUCAGCCCCCAGAACUGUGAGCCAAACAAACUUCUUUUGUUCAUAACUUCCCCAGUCUGUGAUAUCCUGUUACAGCAGCAGAAAAUGGACUAAGACACCCAGGGAUGUACCUGGAACCUGGAAAAAGCUGUUGGAAGGUAGCUAGAGAAGAGCUCAUCACAGCAGUAUAAGGACAAUCUCUGCUCUUGUACGCUCAGGGGCAGAUCUGCAUCACGGGCUUGCAUGUCCAAUUUCACCUUGGCACUUGCUUCUCCGAGGGUCUGGACAUGGGGCUUCGUUUGAGUCUGGAAGCAGUGGAGAGGGGCCAGAAGCUCCAGGCCUUGGCUUGGAGAUCUCUACAGGUGUGCAUGGAGAUGUUUGAAGUGCUAAUGGCUGAGACAGAGCAAGUGGCAGAGGCCUAGGAGACGGAGGCUGAAAGAGUCUGAGGAGGAAAGGAGGCACUGAGGGACUCACAUGAAGCUACUCUGUCAGCAUUCUAAAACUUCUGACAUUCUUUUCUAUGAAGAUAAUUGAAUCACCAAAUUUGAUGAAAUGUUCCCCAAAUAUCAGGUGAAAAAAACUCAUCUAAACCUUUGGACUUGGAAUUGCCCACAUAGACCACAUCAGCAAUGGAAGACAGAGCAAAUAACAUGUCGGUUCAAUGUAUGAAGGAGCUUUUCUUUCCCCUGCCCCAACCCUCAGACAGGUAAAUCUGUGAAAGCUCUAUUUUGAUUCUUUUUAAAUUAUUUGUUUUACAUGUUUUGUGUUUUAUGUUGGCUGAUUCCAAAUGGUUGAAAUAGUGGAGGUCCAACAACCAUUUUCACAGUGUAAUCUUCAGAAGUUCAUCCUUUGGGUUGUAAUUUCAUGAUAAGGAGGAGCAAGAAGAUGCUUUUUGUAACUCAAAUAGCAUCUUCUGAGAAAGGUCUCUAUUUUCACUUGUGUCUUAACUUACAACUGUGUUCAACUCUAUUUCCUUUCCUUGCUUUACAUUUUUUCUUAUGCACCUAUAAUUAUCCAAUUUACUAUAUAUUUUAUAUUUGUCUGUUAUUGUCUGUUUUCUCCACUAAAACAUAAACUUCUUGCAGGAUUUUUGUCUGUUUUUCUCACUGUUGAAUCCCAAAAGCAAAGAAGAAUACCUAGCAUAGAGUUAGUGUUCAAGAAACAUUUGCUAAAUGGAUGAACACCUCUUCAUUUUAUGAGAAAUGAAUCUUCCCCAAGAAGGGGCUCCCGGGUGCAUCUUGUGUGUAGACAUCUCUAUGUCCCCAGGCUGCUGUAGAGCUGAGUCAUCUUUGUGCCCACACCUGGGAAGCAGGACCCUUGUUCGUGUUUCUUUGGCCUUGGGCAUGUCAGUGAGUAAGGAGGAUGUGUGGGAUCUGUGUCCAUAUUUACGUAAGAAAGCAAUAUAGCCUACUGCCCCUUUCAUUUUCAGCAAGUGUGUGUUUACACUGGCCUGGGAUCUACUAUAAAGUUUAAUGUUUGGUUAUACAUUUAUUUCUCAGCUACUUUUGUGAAUAAACAUUUUCUAAAACAUAUCUAUUUUAAAAGUGACAAUGUUUGAAUGAAAGAAAGAGGAGGAGUGAAGCCUGGUAGUUAAUUUGCAGAACUUAGAGCCUGAAUUUUUUGGGUUGGAUCUUUGAUUUUACCAUUCAUUAGUUUUGUGAUCUUCCUCAAUUUCCCAAUCUGUAAAAUGGAAAUAAUAAUAGUACCUACCUCAUGGGAUGUCAAGAGUAAAUAUAAAAAAUGUGUGACACCCAGGAAUGACUAUAUAAGUACUAGCAGUUAAUAUUAUUUAUUAUUAUUAUUCCUGCUUGAAUAAUCACUUUGAGCUAAAUCACUUUGUUUUUACUACUAGCAAUAAGCAUGCUUAAAUACUUUUAAUGUUAUUAUAAUUUGUAUUAUAGUAGACUAAUCUGGAAUUUUAUUAAGCAGAAUUCCCUCUAGACAGGCAUCUAUGCAUACGGAGCAAAAAAUGAUGUAUAUAAUAAUAAGUUUGAGGCACUGAAAGAUCUUGAAUGAGCUUCUGAAUCAUCAGUUACUGUAUCUUUGGGGAACACCAGAGAAAGACUCUCCUUACCAUCCUCACUGCAACUAAACUUCGGGACCCUGGGCUUUGGGUUCAUGGUCUCGCCACUGAAAAGGUUCCCUCCACACUUUUGGAAUUGUGCACCCAUUGGAACCCUUGAGGUAAAGCUAACCAGAGAAAUUUCUCCCAAGAAGAAGAAGAUGGCAUCCUUGAAGUGAACAGCUUUUCCCAAGUUCACAGAGUAAGACUUCUACUAUCAUGAAACUCUUAUCUUUGAAUAUUUUUUCUUGCUUAUAUCUCUACUAACAAUAGAAGUGGAAAAAGGGUCUGUUAUGUGCACUUAUGGGGUAUACUUUUAUUUGUGAAGAAGUUUGCAGCCAGCCUUAUACAUGGAUAACCUUCUACUUUGAUAGAGAUGAAGGCCCAAUGCAGGUUUUAAAUGCUUGCAUGCAGCCAUCUCUAGAACAUCAAAUGGUCUCUCUUCGACUGGAAUGACAACAGCUGAAAGAAAUGUUCAACCAUGAGGACACCAUACCUAUAAAUGAUGUGCUGAGACUGGAAACCCAAAAUGUUGGUAACUGAGAAGUGGCACUAAGGCCCUAAGUUUUGGUUGCACACUCACCUAAGUGAGAACCUGACCAAAAAGGGGGGAUUUUUAAAACAAAACUCUGUGAGGCCAUUGUUUUGGACUAAGCUCAUGCACUCAUGCCCUGGGCCCCAACAGACUAAAGCAAACACAGAUGGAGUCAUUUGUGCUAAGACUUUAAGGAAACGCUUGGAUUCCACAACAGACUAGCUUUUGUUUUUUUCUUCUGCAAAUCUCUAUAACAAACAUUUCUGACAACAUAGGUAUCCACCCCCUGAAGUUCCCAUUAAAUCUUUUAACCAAAUUCAUUUCCUCUCACCUAGAGACCAUCAAGCUUCAGAUGAUGAUGCAACAAAGGUUUCAGCCAGUUCCAGGUGAAGACACCACCCUUGGACAUCAAGAAGCUACCCUGCCUCCACUAGAUAGAGCAGGGAGAGUUCUGUGAUCCCCAAUAGGGCCUUUGUAGACGCUAUCCCUUUGUGGAGAAGACUCUCAACACCCUUCAAAUACUAUGAUCUCAUCAGGAAGGCCCUCCCUGACCACCUAUGCCUGGAACUGUUCUGGGUUUGUGAGACACAGUUGGGAAGAAGACAGACUUGAGCACGGGCAGCGGUGGUUGCCAUGAAGAUGUGUGAGAAGACAGGCCUGCCUGAAAAUGCUGCUGGUCCUGGUACUGUCCUGCCCGCAACAGCACGCACACUCCAGUCUUGCCUUUUCUUGUGCUUUUUUUUCCAUUUCUUUUUAAAGAAAUCUCAUUUCCCUUCUU
rnacentral:lncRNA from 1 species